GAUGAACGCUGGCGGCGUGCCUAACACAUGCAAGUCGAACGUGAGGGUGCAGCAAUGUGCCUGAAAGUGGCGAACGGGUGAGUAACGCGUAGGUAACCUGCCCUGAAGUGGGGGAUAACCACUGGAAACGGUGGCUAAUACCGCAUGAGCCUGAGGGAAUGGGAAUUCCUUUAGGGAAAGCUUAAGUGCUUCAGGAGGGGUCUGCGCCCGAUUAGCUAGUUGGUGGGGUAAAGGCCUACCAAGGCGAUGAUCGGUAGCUGGUCUGAGAGGAUGAUCAGCCACACGGGAACUGAGAAACGGUCCCGACUCCUACGGGGGGCAGCAGUGAGGAAUAUUGCACAAUGGGGGCAACCCUGAUGCAGCAACGCCGCGUGAAGGAAGAAGGUCUUUGGAUUGUAAACUUCUUUUCUUGGGGACGAGCAAGGACGGUACCCAAGGAAUAAGUCACGGCUAACUACGUG
rnacentral:rRNA from 1 species